AGUGAACGCUGGCGGUAGGCCUAACACAUGCAAGUCGAACGGCAGCACAGUAAUAGCUUGCUCUUACGGGUGGCGAGUGGCGGACGGGUGAGGAAUACAUCGGAAUCUACUUUUUCGUGGGGGAUAACGUAGGGAAACUUACGCUAAUACCGCAUACGACCUACGGGUGAAAGCAUGGGAUCUUCGGACCUUGCGCGAUUGAAUGAGCCGAUGUCGGAUUAGCUAGGUGGCGGGGUAAAGGCCCACCAAGGCGACGAUACGUAGCUGGUCUGAGAGGAUGAUCAGCCACACUGGAACUGAGCCACGGUCCAGACUCCUACGGGAGGCAGCAGUGGGGAAUAUUGGACAAUGGGAGCAAGCCUGAUCCAGCCAUACCGCGUGGGUGAAGAAGGCCUUCGGGUUGUAAAGCCCUUUUGUUGGGAAAGAAAAGCAGCAGGUUAAUACCCCGCUGUUCUGACGGUACCCAAAGAAUAAGCACCGGCUAACUUCGUG
rnacentral:rRNA from 1 species